UAGUGAUGUAGACAAUCCUAAAGAAGGGCCUUGAAGCUUUCCCAAGCGUGAUAUAGAUUUUCAUUAGUCUUCUAUUUAAAGCUUAAUAUCUCACUGCAAAACUU
rfam:Capsicum annuum cultivar Zunla-1 unplaced genomic scaffold scaffold1587, whole genome shotgun sequence